ACCUGUAAAGUUGUAUACAUAGGCUUGUUAGUAUUAAUGUCUUCAAAGUGAAGCAGCAGAACCAGUCCACAGUGUAACAAGGUUUAGGGUUCAACCAACAGAAACCCACAACUCUGGUGGCUGGGUUUGGGGCAGAGAAUAUUUCCUAUAAACUCAUAGUGUUAGAACAUGAUGUUCCUGGGAGGUGGAACAUUAGGCUAUUUCUGCCCUGGAACACCACAUUCUGUAGAAAGUUUUUUAACCACAAUUAAACUGUUCAGCUUUUUUUUUUUUUUAAAGGUGGACUUCUUUCAACUGGUUAAAUAUUACUUAAGGGACAACACAUGGUGUUGCAUCUUUAUUCUAUGUCUGGUCACAGCAAACCUCACACGCUCAGAACUGCAGCCAGGCUGAGUGCCACGGGGCUACAAGCAGGUGGAGGAAAGGAAGACCAUCUAUCUACUCUGUUGUUUUCAAACACUCUGGAUGGAAAGCAUAGAUGCCCCACUAGCCACUCGGAGGAGAUUUUAAUUUUUUCAUUGAGUCAGAAGAAAUGGAGGUUGUUAAGGCUAAAUCAGAGCUAAAUUAGAAGAACAGCAAACUAAAAAUCCAAAGAAUGAAAACAGAAAGACCCAUAGCAGUCCUUUGAGAAUGCUCAUGUGAAUUACCAGUAAUUAAGACAGUUCUAUAUCUGAUGAAAUAAAGCUAUUGCAGUUUGGGCAA